rnacentral:siRNA from 1 species
ACAACGUGCUUUGAUGGUCAUGAG